rnacentral:lncRNA from 1 species
GCCUUAUCCUUACUUCAACAUCUACUAUUUAUGCAUAAAAAUUAAUUUUGACCUUAUAUAUACAGUGUAUUUUUCCGGCGAAGGGGUUCAAAUGAACCCUUCAGUCACCCUAGCUCCGCCACUGCCACAAGUGGGGUGUACGUAGACCCAAGGGAGAGGCUCUUUCCAAUAAACCCUCCCCGAGAGAGGUUGUUUCCAAUAAACCCUCCGCGAGAGAAAGUAAAUACAGGAUUAAAAAACUAUGAUGAAAAUACUGAAGAGACCAUACAGGAGAAAUAGUGGUGAGCAGAGCAACAUCAUGUCUAACACAAUCAAAUCCAUGGAUGAACACAAAUUUAUGCUUUGCUUGAUCUCUAGGAACACCAUUUUCUUUAUAAGCCAAAUAUCUGCCAUCAGAAAGCUUGACUCUUGGUGCUGUAAUUGGUGGUCCAUUAGGUGAGCCACAUAUCUUGGGAGGUGGUGGUAAAAUUGCCUUAUAAAUCAGUGCUAAUAUCACUACACCAAAAAGAGCUAUCAUUUUUCUGGUCAUUCCUGCAAAAUGGUCUCAAGAUUAGCCACUAAAAGAAAACUCAGAAUUCAAGAAUCAAGAAAACAAGAAAAUGAAAUAAUAUAAGAACAAGAACAAUAAUAUAAGAACAAGAACAAUAGAGAGAGAAGUAGAGAGAGGAGUAUUCUUAUUGAUACUUUGGGAUGAUGACUCUUGGUGCUGUAAUUGGUGGUCCAUUAGGUGAGCCACAUAUCUUGGGAGGUGGUGGCAGAAUUGCCUUAUAAAUCAAUGCUAAUAUCACUAUACCAAAAAGGGCUAUCAUUUUUCUGGUCAUGGUCAUUGCUGCAAAAUUGUUUCAAGAUUAGCCACUAAAAGAGAACUCCCAAUUCAAGAAUCAAGAAAACAAGAAAUUAC